GAAGGCAUCUUACGUGACAGCAUUAGAUUUCAAUGACAAAAUUCUAAUACUGUCAGGUAAAGAUGUCAGC
rfam:Lingula anatina scaffold243, whole genome shotgun sequence.